AUUGAACGCUGGCGGCAGGCCUAACACAUGCAAGUCGAAUGGUAACAGGAAACAGCUUGCUGUUUCGCUGACGAGUGGCGGGCGGGUGAGUAAUGUCUGGGAAACUGCCUGAUGGAGGGGGAUAACUACUGGAAACGGUAGCUAAUACCGCAUAACGUCGCAAGACCAAAGAGGGGGACCUUCGUGCCUCUUGCCAUCAGAUGUGCCCAGAUGGGAUUAGCUAGUAGGUGGGGUAACGGCUCACCUAGGCGACGAUCCCUAGCUGGUCUGAGAGGAUGACCAGCCACACUGGAACUGAGACACGGUCCAGACUCCUACGGGAGGCAGCAGUGGGGAAUAUUGCACAAUGGGCGCAAGCCUGAUGCAGCCAUGCCGCGUGUAUGAAGAAGGCCUUCGGGUUGUAAAGUACUUUCAGCGGGGAGGAAGGGAGUAAAGUUAAUACCUUUGCUCAUUGACGUUACCCGCAGAAGAAGCACCGGCUAACUCCGUG
rnacentral:rRNA from 1 species